UUCACAGUGCACAGGGAAGACCCUCUUUUAAACAAAUACAUCAUUUCAGGAAGUCUUAGACUGUGACUCAAGUUAAUACUGCCAUCGUUACAUAAUUCCACUAACAAUUACAUAAUCCCUGAAUUCUAAAGCCAUGAUGUUCAUACGGCAGCUGUUUUGUUUCGCGAUCAUCCCUUGUUUUGGAAGCAGGUUGUUGCUGGUCAAGAUGUAAUCUGUCUGAACUUCAGUCCUUUUAAUACGAGGGGUUUGUUUGCCAGGAGAAGUAUCCAGACGAGGUGAGCCUCCCAGAGGGAAGCAGAUCAAAACUCAUGAUCAUACAAAGUCCUAAACUUGGGAUCUCAAUGGCAAUAUUAUGCAAGAUUGAUAGUAGUAAAACCAAUCGCUGAAAAUGCCAGAUCAGGCUCGAGAGAUGGACACGAAAAAAGUGAUGGAAAACGGCUCUGAACACUUUCAGAGUCUCCUGCGGAUUCUCGGCAUCAAUCGAGGGCUUGAUAAGAACUGUGUGUCUGUGAGAAGUCAUAAAACCCAAUCAAUCAACGCCACACAAGUUUCAUAUCUAAUCGUUUUAUUUCAUAUAAACACCUGUUCAAUCACCCGUUAAGAACUACAUAUUCUUGCCACCUGUACGUGUCAAUCAUUUUACGUAUGAUCUGCCCACACGUUAUGGAAAUAUACAUCAUUAGACAAGAGCUAAAAAAAUAAAUAAUUUAAAAUACAAAAUGUCUGACAGCAAAAUGCACUUUGCAUUUUCAAAUAGUUAACAUUAGGUUACAUCACAAAGACUGUGAUUUUCCUUGUUUAAUAAGAGAAUUAAUGUCCAUUCCUACCUAGAUAGUGAUUAUAGAUCUUUAGUUAAACAGAGUAACACAAUGUCGCCCCCUCUGAUUAAUAACUUAUCUGGUUUCGUAUCGGUACAAAAGGGGGAAAGACGUUUUAAAACAAAGGUCAAGUCAAAUAUAUGUAGCCAGACAGUAGCGGUUCUAGCUUGUAUGGCACCCUGGGCGAAACCCGCUUCAACAUGCCCCCAAAGAUGUUGACCGGGGGAGGUGGGGCAACUGUCCAUGGCGCCCAUGCCUAAAUCCGCCACUGUAGCCAGAGUUGCUUAUUUUCUAAAGUUGAAAACGUUGGUGUGGAGAAAAUGCACAUUGCCAAAACUAACUUCUUAACCUGUAUUUUGACCGGGGGUGGGGGUGGGGGGG